AACGAACGCUGGCGGCAGGCCUAACACAUGCAAGUCGAACGAGAAGCUUUUCUUCGGAAAAGUGGAAAGUGGCAGACGGGUGAGUAACGCGUGGGAAUCUACCCAAUGGUACGGAAUAACGCAGGGAAACUUGUGCUAAUACCGUAUAAGCCCCUCGGGGGAAAGAUUUAUCGCCAUUGGAUGAGCCCGCGUCAGAUUAGCUAGUUGGUAAGGUAACGGCUUACCAAGGCUCCGAUCUGUAGCUGGUCUGAGAGGAUGAUCAGCCACACUGGGACUGAGACACGGCCCAG
rnacentral:rRNA from 1 species